rnacentral:lncRNA from 1 species
CAUCUUUGAAACCCAAUUGCACCAUGCAACUGAUCUUAACCACUCAUAAAUUCUAGAAAUUUAAUACUUAACCAUAGCCACGUCAUCUAUAGUUGAACAUAACCACACAAUAUCGUCCUUCUUCUUUAUCACUGACAUGGGCACUCCCCAGAAAAUAUCUAGGUCGAGGGAAACCUUUCUCCAAACAAAUCUUCUAACUGCUAGUUUAACUCGGACUGAACAACUUGGUGAGAUUCCUAGGCUAUUGCAGCGAAUCCAGGUUCAACAAGAAUACUAAACGGGUUACUUUUAGAUGUCGACCAUCCUUUCAAUGC